rnacentral:rRNA from 1 species
UACGAAAGGUGCAAGCGUUGUUCGGAAUGACUGGGCGUAAAGCGCACGUAGGCGGAUUUGCAAGUAGGAUGUGAAAUCCCCAGGCUUAACCUGGGAAUGGCAUUCUAAACUACAAAUCUUGAAUGCUUGAGAGGUUGGUGGAAUGCCUGGUGUAGGAGUGAAAUCCGUAGAUAUCAGGUGGAAUAUCGGAGGCGAAGGCGGCCAACUGGUGAUGCAUUGACGCUAAGGUGCGAAAGCGUGGGGAGCAAACAGG